rfam:Myotis lucifugus cont2.18576, whole genome shotgun sequence.
GGCAGUUCUCGGGUGACAUACCCAGAAUCGGGCUCCCUCUUCUCUGGUUCCCGGGUGUGUCACCUGAGAACCACC